GAACGCAGAAACAAGCGGGACAAAACGCGCAAUUGAAUAAAACAAUGUCGUUAAGUAAAUAGACCAAAAGUGGAAAUUGGCGCGAGGGAAACGUGCCAAAUACGAAAAUAAACAAUUGGCGGCUGCCCCGCAAGUCGAUUCCGCACAGCAAUGCAAGGGAAAUCCGGGUGGGGAAGGGAAGGGAAGGCAACGUAUCACAGAAAAUCAUCAAGGGGCGGCUCGCGAUAAGAGCUUGGAAAGUGCAAUGACUUUUGGAUUCCUUUGUUGGCAAUCCGUUUGCCCCUCCCCAAGAGCCCAAGAGUCCGCACCUAUCUGGGUACUAUAUAAAAACAAUAAUAAUUAUGACAAAUACUCAAGCAAGAAAAGAAGAGCUCUCGAUGUGAGUCACAGCCCACGGUCUCGAGCUUGAGUCGAGCGCUCAGCCAACCACACAUGAGUGUGAGUGUGAGUGUAAGUGGAGUGAAUAUGUGUGAGUACUGGCGAAGUCCGACGGCGGCGUCAUAAUUAAUUAAAUAUAGUAUUCAACCAGAUCCGAUGAUGUGUGCGGAUUGUAAUGUCGUGGAACGAUCGAUAGUGGUGUCUUAAAGGAGGGCAGGCAUUCUCACCUAUUGUGGAUAUAAAGGUGGUGUUGAAAGCAUCCUCUGAGAAUCGAAACAAUAUGCAGGUCUUGCCCACUCCAGAGUCUCCGAUCAGCAGCAAUUUGAACAGAUAGUCGUACGUCUUGGCCAUUCUAAUUCGUAUGAAAGUAAAAUCACAGUUGCGCUUCUAUUUGUUACUCCUCCUGGUGAUGCCGAUGGCGAUGCUGAGAUGCUGGUGCUGAUACUGAUGAUGGUGUACACGUCGCAGUUGCUGUUG